AGUUAUAACACUGCCAUAUCAGUACUUACCUUCAGUUACUGAAUCGGGAAUCGAUGUUUCCUCAGCUCUAGGAAAACUUAAUGCUGAAUUGUAUUUAAUACUAGAAAUUUGAUUAUGAAAAAUGGGGUUACUUAAAUAUUUAAUCACCUUUUUAAGCGAUGACCGAUGACCCUUUUGAUUCCGACUCAACAUUUUGUUAACCUUGAAUUUCAUAACAUAGUAGUUGAUUACACGUGCGCGAGAAGAUAAAACUAAAAAUAUGUUUUACGUCUUUAUGAAUUGUUCCGCUACUUGAUGGAUAUACGCAAAUCGGUUUACAGUGCUAAUUGAUGCGAGUGACAGCUGUGUAUAAGUGACUUCACGAGUUGUGUUAAAUAAAAUUUUGGACUUUUUUUCUGACAUCAUCCUAAACACAAUGCAAAAAGUUGCAAGUCUCUAGCUGCUGCAUUUCAAAAUCGAUUUAUUUUUCCUAGAUGCCCUGGUCUACUAUUUUUGUUUAACUUAUGAUGUGACUUUACGAGGCUAACGCAUUUGCCAUUGAUAUCCUGUUUAAGCGUGUACAUAGAUGAUAAAGGUAUCAUUGUAUUUAUUCAAGAUCUCAACUGUAGAAUUGUUAGAAUUUACGCAAACUUACCAUAGUGUAUUCUAAAGAUAUUUGUACGAUGAUUUUCGAAGAAUUAUUUCAUUGUAUGGUAUAAAUUAAUAAAACCUAAAGCAAACAUUA